rnacentral:rRNA from 1 species
UACGUAGGGUGCAAGCGUUGUCCGGAAUUAUUGGGCGUAAAGAGCUCGUAGGCGGUUUGUCGCGUCGACUGUGAAAACCCGUGGCUCAACCAUGUGGUCUGCAGUCGAUACGGGCAGGCUAGAAUUCGGUAGGGGAGACUGGAAUUCCUGGUGUAGCGGUGAAAUGCGCAGAUAUCAGGAGGAACACCGGUGGCGAAGGCGGGUCUCUGGGCCGAAAUUGACGCUGAGGAGCGAAAGCGUGGGGAGCAAACAGG